rnacentral:rRNA from 1 species
GAUGAACGCUGGCGGCGUGCUUAAUACAUGCAAGUCGAGCGAAGAGACGCGGCGCUUGCUCCUCUGAAGUUAGCGACGGACGAGUGAGUCACAAGCAGCUAACCUCCCUAUCAGACUUGGGUAACUUCGGGAGACCGGAGCUCAUAACAGGUAAUAUAUUGAAACGCAUGGUUCAAGGAUGGAAGACGCUGUUGCUGUUGCUUAUGCAUGCAUCCGGGCCGCAUUGGCUAGAUGGUCAGGUCACGGCGUACAAAGGCAACGAUGCGGAGCCGACCGGCGGGGGUGAUCGGCCACACCGGAACUGGGACACGGCCCAAACUCCUACGGGAGGCAGCAGUGGGGAAUCGUCCGCGAUGGGCGGAAGCUUGACGCAGCAACGCCGCGUGAGUGAUGAAGGUCUUCGGAUUGUAGAACUCUGUUAUUAGGGAAGAACAAAUGUUUAAGUAACUAUGCACGUCUUGACGGUACCUAAUCAGAAAGCCACGGCUAACUACGUG